GACGAACGCUGGCGGCGUGCUUAACACAUGCAAGUCGAACGGAAAGGCCCUGCUUUUGUGGGGUGCUCGAGUGGCGAACGGGUGAGUAACACGUGAGUAACCUGCCCUUGACUUUGGGAUAACUUCAGGAAACUGGGGCUAAUACCGGAUAGGAGCUCCUGCUGCAUGGUGGGGGUUGGAAAGUUUCGGCGGUUGGGGAUGGACUCGCGGCUUAUCAGCUUGUUGGUGGGGUAGUGGCUUUCCAAGGCUUUGACGGGUAGCCGGCCUGAGAGGGUGACCGGCCACAUUGGGACUGAGAUACGGCCCAGACUCUUACGGGAGGCAGCAGUGGGGAAUAUUGCACAAUGGGCGGAAGCCUGAUGCAGCAACGCCGCGUGCGGGAUGACGGCCUUCGGGUUGUAAACCGCUUUCGCCUGUGACGAAGCGUGAGUGACGGUAAUGGGUAAAGAAGCACCGGCUAACUACGUG
rnacentral:rRNA from 1 species